CUGCAUAUUAAAAGAAAAAACAAAAAUGAAACGCUCACCCAAUCCUCCAAACAACCAUUUCCCCUUCCUCCUUUCUCAAUCCCCAUUGUCUCCCGUCAGUUCAACCCAUUUCUCCGGCGUCACUCUCUUGCUUGGCGUCGAGUUCGCCGUCGACGAGGAAGCUUUGCCACCGCUUCUCCAGUGCUUCGCACACGGGGAUACUAAAUAAGAGCAAAUUGGUUGCUAUUGAUGCUGGAAACAGGGGCUACCCUCCGAAUAAGGUAUGUAAGUUGAUGAUUACGAUGUUUUUGACACCAAAUUUCUGAUGAUUUGAUGAUGACACUGAUCUGAGGUAGUUAACAUCGUUGUUAAGUUUGCAUAAGGUCACAAGUUGAAAAGUUGUUUUCCACAGUGAGUGCUUUUGAGUUUGUGGUGUUUGAAAUUUAAGGGGAGAAAAUGAAGGUUAGAUGGUGAAUUGGUGAUUGAGUUUUGGAGCACAUAACCUAGUCAUGUGUUUGCUGUUUUU